rnacentral:rRNA from 1 species
UGGGGAAUUUUGGACAAUGGGCGCAAGCCUGAUCCAGCCAUGCCGCGUGUCUGAAGAAGGCCUUCGGGUUGUAAAGGACUUUUGUCAGGGAAGAAAAGGGCGGGGUUAAUACCCCUGUCUGAUGACGGUACCUGAAGAAUAAGCACCGGCUAACUACGUGCCAGCAGCCGCGGUAAUACGUAGGGUGCGAGCGUUAAUCGGAAUUACUGGGCGUAACGCGGGCGCAGACGGUUACUUAAGCAGGAUGUGAAAUCCUCGGGCUCAACCUGGGAACUGCGUUCUGAACUGGGUGACUAGAGUGUGUCAGAGGGAGGUAGAAUUCCACGUGUAGCAGUGAAAUGCGUAGAGAUGUGGAGGAAUACCGAUGGCGAAGGCAGCCUCCUGGGAUAACACUGACGUUCAUGCCCGAAAGCGUGGGUAGCAAACA